AGCGAACGCUGGCGGCAGGCCUAACACAUGCAAGUCGAACGAAGCCUUCGGGCUUAGUGGCGGACGGGUGAGUAACACGUGGGAACGUACCUUUUGGUUCGGAACAACUCAGGGAAACUUGAGCUAAUACCGGAUGAGCCCUUAGGGGGAAAGAUUUAUCGCCGAAAGAGCGGCCCGCGUUAGAUUAGCUAGUUGGUGAGUUAAAGGCUCACAAAGGCUACGAUCUAUAGCUGGUCUGAGAGGAUGAUCAGCCACACUGGGACUGAGACACGGCCCAGACUCCGACGGGAGGCAGUAGUGGGGAAUCUUGCGUAAUGGGCGAAAGCCUGACGCAGCCAUGCCGCGUGAAUGAUGAAGGUCUUAGGAUUGUAAAAUUCUUUUACCAAGGACGAUAAUGACGGUACCUGGAGAAAAAGCCCCGGCUAACUUCGUGCCAGCCGCCGCAGUAAGAC
rnacentral:rRNA from 1 species